GCGUGCUUAACACAUNCAAGUCGAACGAUGAACCUGGAGCUUGCUCUAGGGAAUUAGUGGCGAACGGGUGAGUAACACGUGAGUAACCUGCCCUUGACUCUGGGAUAACCUCCGGAAACGGAAGCUAAUACCGGAUAUGACGCACGGAGGCAUCUCCUGUGCGUGGAAAGAACUUCGGUCAAGGAUGGACUCGCGGCCUAUCAGGUAGUUGGUGAGGUAACGGCCCACCAAGCCUACGACGGGUAGCCGGCCUGAGAGGGUGACCGGCCACACUGGGACUGAGACACGGCCCAGACUCCUACGGGAGGCAGCAGUGGGGAAUAUUGCACAAUGGGCGAAAGCCUGAUGCAGCAACGCCGCGUGAGGGAUGACGGCCUUCGGGUUGUAAACCUCUUUUAGUAGGGAAGAAGCGAAAGUGACGGUACCUGCAGAAAAAGCACCGGCUAACUACGUGCCAGCAGCCGCGGUAAUACGUAGGGUGCGAGCGUUGUCCGGAAUUAUUGGGCGUAAAGAGCUCGUAGGCGGUCUGUCGCGUCUGCUGUGAAAACCCGAGGCUCAACCUCGGGCUUGCAGUGGGUACGGGCAGACUAGAGUGCGGUAGGGGAGAAUGGAAUUCCUGGUGUAGCGGUGGAAUGCGCAGAUAUCAGGAGGAACACCGAUGGCGAAGGCAG
rnacentral:rRNA from 1 species